AGAGUUGUGGCUCAGUGGUAGAGUGCUUGCCUAGCAUGUAUGAGGCACUGGGUUUGAUCCUCAGCACCACAU
rnacentral:tRNA from 1 species